GGCGAUAAAGCUGCCGGAGUCCGCGGCGGCGGAGGCGGCUGCGGCGAGCAAGGAGGCUGACGACGCACAAUGCAAAGACGGCUUUUCAGAGCAGCCAGUGGGGCAGGACAAUGUUUUUCAUCAAAUGUCCUUAGAUUUGGAGGAGGUUUCCCCAGUGUAUCCAGUGGUUGUCUUCCUCUUGAUUAAUAUUAAAGGAGGAGAAAAAGUGUGUAUUGGGGUCAGUGCAGAAAACAAAUCAUCCAAGCACACGAAGUGGAAUUUGCUAAUAGCAUUACUACUCACCCAGUGACUUCGGAGUCACAACCCAGGACACGGUUUUCCGCCCAUUUCUACAGACACAGUGAGAUUCUUCAUUCUUCUCUGUUGGAACAGCCAGGAAAGCGGAAGAGACCUCCAGCUGCACAACGACCUGUCCCCCACACCCAACCACAAGUUUAUGAAGGGAUGCAGAACAGCAUGAAUACUGCAAAAGAUGCUCUGUGCAUCAGAACGUCCAGAAGAGAGAGAUUUAAAUUGCUUUCAGCUAAGCUGUAGACCUCUAGCAGAUGAACGACAUAUUUUCCUGAAGGACUUGCUUCGGUGUGGAAGUGAUUCCGCUGUGAGUUGUGUCUUUUGCGUUGUUGCACUCUUCAUCAUAUUCAUCCGCAGGACCUCCAGCUCUAAAGCUGAUCUUCAAUUCUGAUCAAUGAUGAUUUUAAAGGGUGUGAAGAGGAUACUGACCCACCAGAAAGAGACCCCACUGCUAGAACGAAUAAGAUGUGCUGAAAGCCGGAGCAUAACUUGGCCAUUCCCAAGAUUUAACAACAAACUAACUACCCAUCAUUAACAGUAAAGAAAGAAAACAAUCAGUAAGAGAUUAUAUAGACCUAAGAGAUGUUACAGACCGAAGAAGAACCUAUGGAGGAAGACAGGAAGAUGAGAGAGAUUUGAAGAUGGUAUGUGGCUGAAUUUGAAGAUAGAGAAAGGAACCGCAAGCAAAGAAUGCAAGAGGUCUCUAGAAGCUGGAAAAGGCAAGGAAAGAGUCUCCCCUCAAGCUCCAGCAGGAAUGCAGUCCUGACACCUUGAGUUUAGCCUAGUGAGACUUCUGACCUCCAGAACUAGAAGAUACAAGUGGUGUUUUAAGGCACUAAAACGAAGAACUAGAAGUAUUGUUUUAAGCCCAUAAAUUUGUGAUAAUCUGUUACAGUAGUAAUAGGCAAUGCAUACACAAGCACACAAAGUAAAAUUUUUCUGUGGUUAUUUUCCAUAUUUUUUCAGUUAUUUUCUGCCUUUUGAAGACAUUAAAGACAUAAAAUGAAUAUGUAUUAGUUUAGGAAUAAAAUUUAAAAUGUAGGAAUGCUAUAAAAGAAGAAAAAAUUUUAACUGGGCUAAAGCAAACCCAGUAUGUCAUCCUAUUACAUCAGCUUCUUCAUCUUUGGAUGAAGAGGUUGGUGACUGUUUCUUCUAAUGUGAGAAUAGCUCCAAAUUGCUAAAUUGUUCAGAAUUUGACAAGAUGAAAGAGGAAAGAAAAAGGAAAUCUUGAAAACAUUUACUGUUUCCUUGUUCAAUGGAUAACACAUGGAUUCCUGAUUGGGAGAUUUUUCCUCUUGCUUUGAUCUGAAGGCAGAAGGAAAUAUAUUCAUUAUUGUUUAAAAGAAUACAUUUUAACCUAACUUUAAAACAUUCAUGAUAUAUUUGUGAACCAUAAUCUUAUUACCCCAACCUAGAAGUUAUUUUGAUCACUAAACUUCCUUUUCAAUAUCUUCAUAUAUGUGUCUUUACAUACUUUAAAUAAAAAAUAUAUAAUUGUAUAACGUUUUAUUAUUUUAUUUAAUAUUUAUCACUUCUAAUAAAUAUAUGUAAAUAUGUAAACAGAAUUUAUGUAUUUUUUCAACAAACAUUUCAAACAUCUACCUUAUGCAAAGCAAUAUAUAGUGAAGGCAGAUAUAAAGUAUAAAUAAGUAUUCUCUAAUAUUGCCUCUAUUUUAAAAAAACUAAAUGUAUUGAGCAUUCUCUAUAUGCCAGGAACUGAACUAAGUAAUUUACUGUUAAUUUACACUAUAAUUCCAUGAAGUAGGUAUUAAUAUUAUCUCCAGGACUAAAGUGAGAUGAUUGACAUUUCUCUUUCCAGAUGAAAUUAGGUAAGUUAUCCAAGGUCAUGUAUCUAGGAAGCAAUAAAUCUAGGAAAUUCAAAUUUAUUGUUAAUUUUUCUAUUUUUUUAUGGAAUUAAGAAAAUGUUAUUUAUAGUUAAUGCUCUUAUACAGAAUUCCCUAUAUUUAACUUUUUCUUCUUAAAAUGACUUAUUUGAGUAACUAUGAGCCUUGGACAUUUUCAAUUUGGGGGCAUUCGUGGGAAUAUUGGCCUCAAAAGUAUCACUCCAAUUUAUAGUCUGCCUGUUAAUAUACCUUUUCCUUGCAAUCACACCAGUCAUGAGCUUUGUAAAAUAAUUAGAAUUGAAUAUUUUUCCAGAAGAUUGUUUAUAAGUUUUAUUUCCUUUUGAAUGAGUUCAUGGUUCUUAGCUUUUGCUUCUUUAUCUACUGAGUUCUAAGAAAACAUUUUCUCUUUGACUAAAAACAUUUUAUCCUAGGCUCUUUCCUCUCCUGCUCAAUAAGUUGCCAUUGGAACUCUGCAAGGAAAAAUUCUAAAAGUUUCAGUGGUGAAUAGAGCAUAAAUGAGAAAUUAAAGCAUUAAUAUUUGUUAGGAAGUAACUUCUCUUCUAGCACAAAAACAAUACAAAAUAUAUUAUUGUUAUCUUAUAAAUGGCAUUACUUAGACAGGAACCCAGCAAUUUUGGAGUCUACACAAUCAGAAGGAGCUACAGUGGGUCUUAUUCUUACCAAAUAGUAGAAGGUUAAUUCUUUUUCAUCCCUGAGAAUCUGUUUAUUCAGAAUGUAGUGUGCUUGAAUCUCCUGGGUUUGUCCACAGGUCAAAGUACCAAUAAUAGGUUUGAGGUGAAUAUAACUCUUGCUUGGGGAAAAAAAAUGCUUUGCAGUAUGAGAUGUUUGCGUAUGAAAUUCAUCAAGCCACCAGUUAUCAGAACAAUUGUUACUCUCUUUGUAUUUGACCUAAUGGAAGAAUAAAUAAGCUGUUUUAUAUAUAAUAUAUAUAUGAUUGCAAAAAUAUAUAAAAAUAUGCAUAUUAUAUAUGUUUGUAUAUAUAUACAUAAAGCAAUAUAAUAAAGCCAUAUAAGAAGGCUGCUUUCUUAAAUAUAGCAGAAUCUGUAAACUGAUUCCCCUCGAGAUCAUUUAAGCUUAUGCUGUACUGAUUUAGUAGAUGUUAUUCAUUCACAAACAAGGUCAAUUACUUUCUCUUAACACGCUAUGGCUGCAAAUUGCAUAAGAACAUUUGAAUAUUCAACACAAAACAAAAUAGUAGUAUGCCAAAGAAACCAAGCAAGAUCUUACUUGUAUUAGAAUCAUAAAAAUAUUCAAUUUUUCAAAGGAAUAUCAAGAUGAUCUAUUCAAUGUC
rnacentral:lncRNA from 1 species